CACGUAGGGUGCGAGCGUUGUCCGGAAUUAUUGGGCGUAAAGAGCUCGUAGGCGGUGUGUCGCGUCGGCCGUGAAAACCUGCAGCUUAACUGUGGGCUUGCGGUCGAUACGGACAUCACUGGAGUUCGGCAGGGGAGACUGGAAUUCCUGGCGUAGCGGUGAAAUGCGCAGAUAUCAGGAGGAACACCGGUGGCGAAGGCGGGUCUCUGGGCCGAUACUGACGCUGAGGAGCGAAAGCGUGGGGAGCGAACAGG
rnacentral:rRNA from 1 species